rnacentral:lncRNA from 1 species
GUUGUUGUUGUUGUUGUUGUUGCUAUUUCUUGGGCCGCUCCCGCGGCAUAUGGAGGUUCCCGGGCUAGGGGUUGAAUCGGGGCUGUAGCCACUGGCCUACGCCAGAGCCACAGCAACGCGGGAUCCGAGCCGCGUCUGCAACCUACACCAAUGCCAGAUCGUUAACCCACUGAGCAAGGGCAGGGACCGAACCCGCAACCUCAUGGUUCCUAGUCGGCUUCGUUAACCACUGCGCCACGACGGGAACUCCCUAUAGGAAUUAUUUUUAAUGAUGUCAUUUAAAGUGAAACCACUGUACUAAUUAUAUUAUCUGAUGACAAUAUGAUCCACCAGAUCUUGAAUGACUGUGGUAUCAUGACCAUGCCAUCAAAGCAGCUCAGACAUGGGGUCUAUUCCAGUGUGCUGGGGCUGCCACAACCAAGUACCACAAAAGGCAUGGCUGAGAGCCACAUAAAUAUAUCAUCUCAUAGUUCUGAGGUUAGAAGUCCAAGAACUACAUGGCAGCAGGGCCAUGCUUUCUCUGGAGACAUUAGAGAAGAUCUCUUCCAGACCUCUCUCCUAGUUUCUGGUAAGAUCAUUGGCUUAUGGCAGCAUAACUCCCAUCUUCACAUAGCAGGACUCAAACACAGUCUCACAAGCAAUGCAAACAUUUGGAUUAUUCUUCAUAUUGAUAGUUUGCAUAACCUGGUAAUUCACAGCUAUUUUAAAAGGUGAAACUACUAUUGUGCAAUACAUAAUAAAUAUCCCAAUGCAUUUAAAAGAAAGAGUAUAUCCAGGUUAGGAAGAAGUUAGAAGAAGUACACGAUGUUUUUUUAAAGUUAAUAUAUCUACAAUCCAGAUAUAUGUCUAGAUGUCUAUAAACACAUAUUUCCAAUAUAUGUUACAUAUGCACACCAAUAAUAUAUCACCUAAAUUUCCUAACAAUGACACCAUAAACUGUAAUACAUGACAAAGCAUAUGAAUGAUACAGCCUAAGCAUGGGGUGAUCCUAUAAUUCACUGUCUGAACCUGGACACUUUUUAGAGUGAAAGGCAUUACCAACAACUAGGCUGGGUAACACAAAGAAACCAAAGGGUCCUGGGUCAAACCCAGAAUGAGGAUAAACAAAAGAAAGAACUGGGCUGAAAUAAAAGACUGGAAAGUAUAGGAUCCCUCUACCCACAUUGGUCUAUGGUAGAGGAAGGGAAAGGCAAUGAUUAAUCUGCUCAUGUAUGAACACUGAAUAGCUAAAAGAAGGAAGAAAGUAUGUAAAAGGCACUAGAUUUGGCAUAGCAUGCAAGAUAUUUAUGUUGUUUAAAAUAAAUCAUAUGCAUAAGAAAAGUAUCAGCUAGUGGACACUGAAACAGAGAUACGAAUAGCAUAAAAAGGGAUCUUCCUCGCCUCUCCUUAGUUGAUGAGAAUAGGAUGGACCUGAAAUACUUCAAGAGCCCCAUUUUAAGUCCCAUCAAUUCAAGAGGCAAACUAUUUGUAUCACUUCUUUUUACAGAAAUAAGAAAAAGAAGCAGAGAAAUUACUUUUUGAUUGAACUACAGACAGAUACAAUCUUGGACCAGAGAUUCUGGGUUUUCAUUUUCCCCUCAUGUAACAGCAUUCCCUCCUAACUAAUGCAGACAGGGAUUCCUAGGAUGACUAUUUCUACACUGCACCACCUGUGCUGUCCUGAAAGAGAACAAACAGCAUAUAGCUGUUCUCCAUUUACAGAAAUGCCUGCUCUCCUUUUCACGCUCAUCAAGAUAUUUUUGGUGUGUGAUCAGUUCAGAUCAGCCCUCUAAAAUUUCAAUUCCUCUCCAUAUAAGAGAGAACACUAUAUAAUACACAUACAAAUAAAGUUCAGGAGUCCUGUGACUUGGUCCCAAGCAUGCUCUUAUUGUUUGGGGGUCUCCAUUAAUUGCUCUCUUCUGAAAAAGAUGAAGCAUUUUCAACUAAGAAAAAUCUUCACGAGUUUACGAUACAGCUUUCCUGGGUGAAACAAAAACCCCUAGCAAGGGUGUGUGUCCAAGCUAAUCACAGGGUGCCCACAGGCCACCCUGGCAACUGUCCAGCAAAUCUGGGAUCUACAAAGCAUUCUGUGCUGUGUGCACAAGGGCAGGCGAGACUGUCUCAUUUCCGCUCCAGACCCGGCAGGAAAGAGCAGACACCAGUAGGCUUCUGUUGAAGACACGUUUCACUACAAAAUUUUCCUUCAGGAAAUUCAGAGAUCUCCAGGAACAGGAAAAUCUUACCCCUGGUACACUGGACUAUAUGUUAAAUAAUUACACUUCCUGCUUCACCAAGCACUAAAUUUAACAGCUUAAUUUAGAAAAUAUUUUGAACUAGCUAAUUUACCUUUCUUAAUAGCAUCCCUAUUAUCAGGGAUUAAUGAAUAAAAUUCACUGAUGUGACAAAAUGUUAGCAAAACACGAAUGCCACGUAAGCAUUGUGGGAAUGAGCCAGAAAUAGACAUCACUGGCGAAAGGAACACAUAUUAUGGGCCAAUUUCUUAGGAACAUGUCACUUAGAUCAGUGGUUCUCAGCAAGGAGUACUUUGCACCCCAGCAGACAAACUAUAUAUACUAUUAUAUAGGAUUCCAGUUUUUCAUGUACAGAAUGGAGAAAACUGUACCUAUGAUAUUUAAGAUUGUUAUAACAAUUAAAGUAUAAUGCUAUACUUAAUGCAUGCCAGUCAUUCUGUGAACACUAAAGACUAAUAUGUUUAGGUACUCAAAACUACUUAAUAAAUGAAAGAGUAAAUGUGAGUUCCCACUGUGGCUCAGCAGAUUAUGAACCUGACUAGUAUCCAGGAGGAUGAAGCUUCCAUCCCUGGCCUUGCUGAGUGAGACAAGGCUCGGGCGUUGCAACAAGAUGUAGCAUAGGUCACAGAUGCGGCUCAAAUCUGGCAUUGCUGUGGUGUGUAGGCCGGCAGCUCUGAUUCAACCUCUAGCCUGGAAACUCCCAUAUGCCACACGUGCUACCCUAAAAAGAAAAAGAAAAAAAAAAAAACUGUAUUGCAUAUAAUAUCAAUUGAGGAUUCCAAAAACCUCUUAAUUUCCAGUUUUUCACCCCAUAGCCAACCCACGACUUUGCUUUCUUUACAACUUUCAAAUAAGGUCACAAUCUGAGGGAAGGGGCUUAGAACUUGAAAAUGUGAAUUAGGGGGGAAGACAAGUCAACCCAUUACAGUGUACCAAGCAGGAACUAAAAAUGCAGUCUCACAAGUAAUGGAUAGAUUUGGAUAGUUCUUCAUAUUUAUAGUUUCUAUAACUUGGUAAUUCACAGCUGCUCAAAAAGGUGAAAUUAGUAUCAUUUAAGAUACAAUAAAUAUUCCAUCUCUCAAUGCACUUAAAGCAAAGAGUAUGUCAGGUUAUGAAGAAGCUAGAACAAGCAUUUCUCAAUCAUUGUGGGGUUUUUUUGGUUUUGUUUUGUUCUUUUUUUUUUUUUUUUUUUUGUCUUUUUAUGGCCACACUCCAGCACAUGGAGUUUCCCAGGCUAGGGGUAGCAUGGGAACUAUAGCUGCCAGCCUACGUCACAGCAACAGAAACACGGGAUCCGAGCCGCACCUGCAGUCUACACCACAGCUCAUGGCAAUGCAGGAUCCUUAACCCAAUGAGCGAGGCCAGGGAUCUAACCCACAUCCUCAUGGAUACCAGCCAGGUUCGUUAGCGUUGAGUCACAAAAGGAACUCCUCAUGUGUUUUUUAAAGUUAAUAUAUCUAAAAUCUAGAUGUGUAUAUAUAGAUGUUUAUAAACACUCAAAUAUUUCCACUACCUGUUACAUAUACACAUGAAUAAUGUAUCAUCUAAAUUUCCUAACAAUGACACCAAAAAUUGGAAUACAUGGUAAGGCACUGCUUUUAACCUACCACAUCAUGAAGGCCAGACACAGAACCACUUUAAGUGAAAGAUAAAAGCCUGAGGAAUGUUUUCAGAAAUGUAUCUAAAUGAAUACAGAGAGGAAAUCCACUUCUCUCUCUAAAAGAAAAAUAAAUAAAUAAAAAAUGCUAGAGUAUCUUCUCCGUGAUAUGCUUUAAGGAAUAAUGGCUUUAAGUAUUUUGAGGUUCUUGUUUCCUUAUGUUAAACAACAACAAUUCUGCAGAGUACUUGCCUUUGAUAAAUUUGUAUUAUAUUUUAUGUGGAGCACAUUUUCAGCCUUCAAUUCAGAAUGCCAUAAAACAGAAAAAAUGAAAACAGAAAGAAAAAAAAUCAGGCCACAAUUUCCUCUAAUAUUAGCUGUAUCACUUAGUUCUUGAAGUAUAUGAAUUCUUUAAACUUUGUACUUCCUCAAAUGCAUGUCCAAAACAGCUCUGUUUUUUAUCCUAACACUCUUCCUCUCUUAAUCUACCACACUGAUUGGUACUCCACUAGCCAUAAUUUUAUAAAACAACCCUCUUGCUUUAUUAUUAUAAAAUACUGCAUAGAUCCACAGUAGUUCUAUGCUGGCUAUACUCAGCUUCUUAUCACCCCUUUAUUAUGUGCCACUGGUAACUAUCUAAAAUGAUUACUUUUUCAGAAUAGUAUCAGGAGUUCUAAGGGACAGUAUCUGAAGUUAGAAAACCCAAGAAAUCGUUCUUUCACAGCUUUUUCCUGGACUCUAUGGUAAGAUAUUGGUGAGCAAACUUUCAGAAGCAGAAAAUCCAGAUGUUCUUAUUCUAGGUAAGUGUUUGGUAGCUGCAAUCACAAAGCUGGAAGAGAACUACAGAAAAAUCCUCUCCAAAAACAUGGUUUGUGUUUAUAUGGUUUACACAUUCAGAAUUUAUCUGUGAUAAUAAAAUUCCUUUAAAAUGACACCUCUAGAAAGAUUCUACUUAUCCAGUGGUUGGGGGGCAUCUCAAAUUAUGGUUGGAGCGUAAAACAAGGAAGAGCUUGUGUACACCUGUUCCAUCUGGAAAGAAGUAAAUAUAGUGGUGGAGGGAUAGGGAAAGGGAGGCAGAUGGACACAAAGUCACAUUUCAACACAGCUGUGACUGCCUCCUACAUCACUAAAUAUGGCACCCACGUCAGUUCUAGAAUGCUCAACCAGAGGCAGGGUGGGCUCAGAUUUGAGUGGACCAUGUAGGCAUAUGUUUGCCUUAAUCCACAAUCUAAUUAAAACCUGAGGAUGGUCAGGGAAGAGAAAGAACAACCCAGAGAAAGAACAACCCAGAGACUAUCAUUUCAGGACUAUCUAAGGUCAAAAGAAUCAUCUCACAGAUAAUUUGGACACAACACCCUGCUCUCAUAAAAAUUCUAUGAUGCAGCAAAGGUUUUGGUAAACUUCUUCAGUCUUUACUCAUAUUUCCCCUUCCUGUUGUUUCAUGUAACUCUAAGAAAUGGGCCUAACUAACCCCUAACCAAAGCUGCUCACAAAGAAGAUAAUACUUUAUUUUCAGAUGUGACAUUUAUAAGGCAAUGACAUCUGGUUCUAAGUUCUCACCUGUACUUUUUGCAAAUAAAUUAAAAUAUUCAUGCAUGAGGGUCAUCUUGCCAAGAUAUUUUAAAUGAUAGGCACAUAAAAUGUACUAAUAAUUAAUAUUUUAUUGCAAUAAUUAACGAUAAUGGCUAUCAAGGUAGGUAAUUACCAUUGGUAAAAUUUCAGCUGAUUUCUCAGAAUCAUGGUCUUUGUAAUGUGCUAAAUUGAACAUUCUCUUUCUUGAAGAAAUUCUUCUUCAAACUAUAUAGAAACAACUAUAAUUUUUACUAUGUAAGAUCCAUGAAAUUAUAAGAGAAUUUGUCAACCAGGUGUUUUUUGGGGUUUGUUUGCUUGUUUGUUUUUUUAGUUCAUUGUGAAAAUCACUUAAAAGGAAUAAGUGCCCUGGGAAGUUUAACAAGAGUUUGUCCAGCAUUGUUAAUACUGAUAUUGUUCUUGACCUGACAUCCUAACUACUAGCUGGAAGGUGCAGCAUCUUUAUAGAAAGAUCAAAUUGAAUUUGAUUAGUUUUAAGUAACCCACUAAAGAACAAGCAAGAGCCCUUUAAGAGACUUGAAACAUAUAAUUCUGAUUUUUUAGGAAAUUAGUUUAUCUCAACAGUCUGGAAAAACACUACAAAAAUUCUUGAGACAUUUACUUAGGAAUAAGUGUACAGAGACAAAUAUUACUCAGAAGGACCACAGAGAAAAGGCAUUCAAAUAAGUAGAUAAUUUUGUUCUACCAAUCUAUUAAUAUAACAUAAUAUAUCUCAGUUUCAUUUAGUAAAACUCUUGCAUGUAAUUUAAUAACAUCUUUGGCAACAGACUUUCAGAAAACUCUCUAGUUGAACCAAUAGAAAACAAGAAUAUUCUUCAUCCAAAAAAAUCAACUUUUUAAUAUACUUCAGUUUCAAAAUGCACAGGUGACCAGGGAGAAAAUGGACUCUACAAAAUGAAAAAGUUCUGCAAUUCUCACUACUUACUAAGUGAAUAUUUGAUCCAAAGAUAAAGGGCACAUUGCAGUCUUUGAAAAAAAAAACUGAGUUGCCUUUUCCAACAAUCAUAUUGUUUGAUUCUGGAUGUAUUUCAAUACAGUGAGAAUGUUUAUACUUUUAGACUCUGGCAGACACUCUAAGAUCUGAGAUAUCUGUGGAGAUUUUUAUAGAGCCUUAGCCCAACAGACCAAGAACCCCUUAAACAGAUUAUUUAUUUUUUCUUUUAGGGCAGCACCCACAGCAUAUAGACAUUCCCAGACUAGGGGUCAAAUCAGAGCUGCAGCUAGCAGCCUACGCCACAGCCACAGCCACAUGGGUUCCAAGGCUCAUCUGCAACCUACACCACAGCUCAUGGCAACACCAGAUCCUUAACCUACUGAGCAGGGCCAGGGAUAGAACCCACGUCUUCACUGAUACUAGUUUGGUUCGUUACCACUGAGCCGCAACAGGAAUUCUCCGGAUAAUUUUUUUAAAAAAACAAAUUGGAAAAAAAAAAAUCAACCUGCCUCAGAAAUGUGUUCUAAGAUGUUUUCAUUGAUUCUGGGACAUAAGAUCUUCGUAGAGUAACAAUUUUAUAUCCAUCUGUUUCUUGAAUGUAUCCAAGCAAUCUUGUAAUCCAUCAAAAGGAAAUAAAAGCUACCUUGACAUGUCUUGAUUUAUUGAAGUGAUACUAAAAAGAGUCUGCAG